GACGAACGCUGGCGGCGUGCUUAACACAUGCAAGUCGAACGGAAAGGCCCUGCUUUUGUGGGGUGCUCGAGUGGCGAACGGGUGAGUAACACGUGAGUAACCUGCCCUUGACUUUGGGAUAACUUCAGGAAACUGGGGCUAAUACCGGAUAGGAGCUCCUGCUGCAUGGUGGGGGUUGGAAAGUUUCGGCGGUUGGGGAUGGACUCGCGGCUUAUCAGCUUGUUGGUGGGGUAGUGGCUUACCAAGGCUUUGACGGGUAGCCGGCCUGAGAGGGUGACCGGCCACAUUGGGACUGAGAUGCGGCCCAGACUCCUACGGGAGGCAGCAGUGGGGAAUAUUGCACAAUGGGCGGAAGCCUGAUGCAGCAACGCCGCGUGCGGGAUGAUGGCCUUCGGGUUGUAAACCGCUUUCGCCUGUGACGAAGCGUGAGUGACGGUAAUGGGUAAAGAAGCACCGGCUAACUACGUG
rnacentral:rRNA from 1 species